GACGAACGCUGGCGGCGCGCCUAACACAUGCAAGUCGAACGAGCGAGAGAGAGCUUGCUUUCUCGAGCGAGUGGCGAACGGGUGAGUAACGCGUGAGGAACCUGCCUCAAAGAGGGGGACAACAGUUGGAAACGACUGCUAAUACCGCAUAAGCCCACGAUCCGGCAUCGGGUUGAGGGAAAAGGAGUAAUCCGCUUUGAGAUGGCCUCGCGUCCGAUUAGCUAGUUGGUGAGGUAACGGCCCACCAAGGCGACGAUCGGUAGCCGGACUGAGAGGUUGAACGGCCACAUUGGGACUGAGACACGGCCCAGACUCCUACGGGAGGCAGCAGUGGGGAAUAUUGCACAAUGGGGGAAACCCUGAUGCAGCGACGCCGCGUGGAGGAAGAAGGUCUUCGGAUUGUAAACUCCUGUUGUUGAGGAAGAUAAUGACGGUACUCAACAAGGAAGUGACGGCUAACUACGUGCCAGCAGCCGCGGUAAAACGUAGGUCACAAGCGUUGUCCGGAAUUACUGGGUGUAAAGGGAGCGCAGGCGGGAAGACAAGUUGGAAGUGAAAUCUAUGGGUUCAACCCAUAAACUGCUUUCAAAACUGUUUUUCUUGAGUAGUGCAGAGGUAGGCGGAAUUCCCGGUGUAGCGGUGGAAUGCGUAGAUAUCGGGAGGAACACCAGUGGCGAAGGCGGCCUACUGGGCACCAACUGACGCUGAGGCUCGAAAGUGUGGGUAGCAAACAGG
rnacentral:rRNA from 1 species